GCACGCCCUUCUGUGCGACUCGCGCGCCGACCCGGUAUCUCUUCCGGGUCGCGGGCGCUAGCGUGCCUUGUGUACGGACCCGCCGUCCUCCACGAUGGCCGCUCCCUUGGCGUCACUAGGGAGCCGCCAUCUUUCUUCCUCCCCGGCCGGACGCGCAAGAUGCCGCCGGCGCCCGGUCGGCCUCGGACAGGCACUGGCCUCCGAGAACGUUCGCGGUUAGCACGGCGUCGCAGACCGUCCCGGACAAGCGGAAGGAUAAGGCCUUGAGGGGCGGGAGGGGUCUGCCAUCUUGGGUCCGGGGUCCCUCUCGGCAGAAGGCCGCGGCGGGCGUGGCCUGCUCGGUACUGUGCAGCUGCCUCCAGCCUCUCUGCCCCUUCCCGGCGUCGCGGCCGGCGCAGGGACUUCCGGGUGUGGAGGCGUGGGGCAGGUCCUUACUCCACAGAAUCAAGAAGAAUGGAGGAGAAGAAUGAAGGGAGAAGGAAGAACUCCUAGAGUGUUACCAUUUCUAAGGAACCUUAAACUGGAUGCCAAGGUUUCUGAACAUAAUGACUCCAGGGCUGUAGUAGAAGACAUAUAAAACUUAGAAUCCUGUUAUCCAUCAUUUCCUGGGUAUAGAGGAAAAUGAUUGAGCCUCAGGUGACUUUGAUUUUUGUUGUACUUUUCCUUUGUUUUCUGAUAGACUUCUGGAAGCCUGAAAAAAAAAAUCUGUUCAAUUGAAAUAAUUAUAAAUUGAAUAAUUGGGUUCUGGGGAGAAAUUAAUUUUGAACCUAACUUCAAAAUUAGGGCAAAUUGGGGUCAGGAAUAUACUAUUCCACUAAAUGACUUACUGUUUCAAACAUAAUAAUGACUCUGUGGGUCCUGCAGGUUACAGUAGAUAUCACCUC
rnacentral:lncRNA from 1 species